rnacentral:rRNA from 1 species
CUCGGAAGCUAAGCAGGGUCAGACCUGGUUAGUGCUUGGAUGGGAGACCGCCUUGGAACACCAGGUGCUGUAAGCU